CCAGACUGCCUGCACAGCCUUUGGGUGUGCCUGAGGGCCGUGAUCUGCAAGGUCUCCACACAGCCUUCUGAAGCCACCAAGGUGCAAACCAGCUAAUGAUUAAACCUGCUUUCUCAGUUUUACUGCUGGAGAAAGGCUUCUGUGGCAAAGCACAGAGGGGAGCACAGUACUCCUUUCACAUCAAAAGAAUAUGCAGACACCCAAGUAAAAAAAAAAGCAACAGUGGGACUGAAAAAUACAAAGGAAAUGGAGCAGACAGUCAAGAAGGAACAAAGACUGCAAGAGGGGAAAGAAAAGCAAGAGCAAGUAAUUGGCAGAGUCAGAAUUAGUUAUUUCUAUUAAUUUCAAAGUUCUUGCUUCCUUCUGCCAGCCUCAUUUGAUUGCUGGGCAACAGGGGCAGUUUCUACAGGUUUCCCUUUAGUUAAAAGGAUUUGUUUAUAAGACGUAUUAUUUGUAAUAAACAUAAGGGUAUCACUUUGUAAAAACAUUCUUCUUCAGGAAGUAAUAAAACACUUGCUCAGUUUAAA